GUCUUCCCGAAGAUGUUUUUGGCAACCUUACUCGGAUGAAAAGGCUCUUUCUCUCCAGUAACAAACUUCAGCGUUUGCCAAAGUUAAAAAAUCUCUCCGAGAUAGAAACUUUAUACCUGGAAAACAACAGCCUCGUAACCCUGUCACCGGAUCAGUUCCAAGGCUUGUCCAAAUUGAAAGACCUG